UCGAGGGGGGGAGGGGAGACAGGGGAGCGAGCGCAGUAGAGGGAGAAGGAGAGACGCGGAGAAACAGAGAGAGAGAGAGCAAGAGUCGGCUAUUUGGAGGAGCCUUGCCAUGUCAGAAAGCAAGGAUCAGGGGAACGUGCUCAUCACAGAAAAGGAUACGGACACAGCUGGGUUGUCCAAAACCCCGUGCUUGGAGCUGAGAACAGCCAUGGAGAAAUGCAUUGCAGACAAAGGUGAAGAGAAAUGUAAAGAAGCAACCCAGGCCUACAAAAACUGCAUGAAAGCAUUAGGACUUAAAGUUUAACAAUAGCUGACUGAUCCUCCUCCGAUAUAGACCAACCAUCAUGACUUGAAGAUUCAGCGAAUGUGCAACAAGGAGAUCCACUGAGGGUGCUGACCAAUCGCCAUUCUUUACAGAACCUCUGAUGAAGCCUCCGCCGAUCAGUAUUGGAUUCAAACAAUCAGUCACUACUCUUGUUUUGUUGUGAACUAACAUUGCUUGGGUAAAUAAUUUUUAAUGUUAUAAAAGUAUUAAAACACUGCA